UUGCCCUACGGGGGGCAGCAGUGGGGAAUAUUGCACAAUGGGGGGAACCCUGAUGCAGCGACGCCGCGUGGGUGAAGGAGCACCUCGGUGCGUAAAGCCCUAUCGGCAGGGAAGAAAAGCGAACAGGUUCGCCUGGACGGUACCUGACUAAGAAGCCCCGGCUAACUACGUGCCAGCAGCCGCGGUAAUACGUAGGGGGCAAGCGUUAUCCGGAAUUACUGGGUGUAAAGGGAGAGUAGGCGGCAAGGUAAGCGAUAUG
rnacentral:rRNA from 1 species